ACCUGGAUAUGGAUUCUUCACGGCAACGUAACUGAAUGUGGAGACGUCGGCGCGGGCCCUGGGAGGAGUUCUNUNUUCUUCUUAACAGCUUAUCACCCUGGAAUUNGUUUAUCCGGAGAGGGGGUCUUAUGGCUNGAAGAGCGCAGCACGUNUUGCUGCGUCCGGUGCGCCUGCNNCGGCCCUUGAAAAUCCACAGGAAGGAAUAGUUUUCAUGCCAGGUNGUACU
rnacentral:rRNA from 1 species